AGAGGUGGGGGGGAGUCCCCUCAGCCCAGAUUGUGAGAGGGUGCAGGCCAGGCCAAGGGACCCCACCAGUGCAUG
rnacentral:pre_miRNA from 1 species